GUGGGGAAUAUUGGACAAUGGGGGGAACCCUGAUCCAGCCAUGCCGCGUGUGUGAAGAAGGCCUUUUGGUUGUAAAGCACUUUAAGUGGGGAGGAGGCUUACCUGGUUAAUACCUGGGCUAAGUGGACGUUACCCACAGAAUAAGCACCGGCUAACUCUGUGCCAGCAGCCGCGGUAAUACAGAGGGUGCGAGCGUUAAUCGGAUUUACUGGGCGUAAAGCGCGCGUAGGUGGUUAAUUAAGUCAAAUGUGAAAUCCCCGAGCUUAACUUGGGAAUUGCAUUCGAUACUGGUUAGCUAGAGUAUGGGAGAGGAUGGUAGAAUUCCAGGUGUAGCGGUGAAAUGCGUAGAGAUCUGGAGGAAUACCGAUGGCGAAGGCAGCCAUCUGGCCUAAUACUGACACUGAGGUGCGAAAGCAUGGGGAGCAAACAGGAUUAGAUACCCGAGUAGUCC
rnacentral:rRNA from 1 species